GACGAACGCUGGCGGCGUGCCUAAUACAUGCAAGUCGAACGCAUUUUCUUUCACCGUAGCUUGCUACACCGAAAGAAAAUGAGUGGCGAACGGGUGAGUAACACGUGGGUAACCUGCCCAUCAGCGGGGGAUAACACUUGGAAACAGGUGCUAAUACCGCAUAAUUCCAUUUACUGCAUGGUAGAUGGAUGAAAGGCGCUUUUGCGUCACUGAUGGAUGGACCCGCGGUGCAUUAGCUAGUUGGUGGGGUAACGGCCUACCAAGGCUGCGAUGCAUAGCCGGCCUGGGAGGGUGAUCGGCCACACUGGGACUGAGACACGGCCCAGACUCCUACGGGAGGCAGCAGUAGGGAAGCUUCGGCAAUGGACGCAAGUCUGACCGAGCAACGCCGCGGGAGGGAAGAAGGUUUUCGGAUCGUAAAACUCUGUUGUUAGAAAAGAACAAGGAUGAGAGUGGAAAGUUCAUCCCUUGACGGUAUCUAACCAGAAAGCCACGGCUAACUACGUG
rnacentral:rRNA from 1 species